rnacentral:tRNA from 1 species
UUAAUUGAAGCCAAAUAGAGGCUUGUUAAUGUUAAUAACACCAUUGAGAUAUUACUCCAAUUAAA